rnacentral:rRNA from 1 species
UACGUAGGAUGCAAGCGUUGUCCGGAAUUAUUGGGCGUAAAGAGCGCGCAGGCGGCCCAUCAAGUCAGAUGUGAAAUAACCAGGCUUAACCUGGUGGGGUCAUUUGAAACUGGCGGGCUAGAGUCCAGCAGAGGAUAGCGGAAUUCCCGGUGUAGUGGUGAAAUGCGUAGAUAUCGGGAGGAACACCAGUGGCGAAGGCGACUACCUGGCCUGUUCUUGACGCUGAGGCGCGAAAGCUAGGGGAGCAAACGGG